rnacentral:rRNA from 1 species
ACGGAAGGCAGCAGUGGGGGAUAUUGCACAAUGGGGGAAACCCUGAUGCAGCGACGCCGCGUGAGUGAAGAAGUAUUUCGGUAUGUAAAGCUCUAUCAGCAGGGAAGAAAAUGACGGUACCUGACUAAGAAGCUCCGGCUAAAUACGUGCCAGCAGCCGCGGUAAUACGUAUGGAGCAAGCGUUAUCCGGAUUUACUGGGUGUAAAGGGAGCGCAGACGGUUUGCCAAGUCUGAUGUGAAAGCUAGGGGCUCAACCCCUAAACUGCAUUGGAAACUGGUAGACUAGAGUGUCGUAGAGGUAAGUGGAAUUCCUAGUGUAGCGGUGAAAUGCGUAGAUAUUAGGAGGAACACCAGUGGCGAAGGCGGCUUACUGGACGAUAACUGACGUUGAGGCUCGAAAGCGUGGGGAGCAAACAGGAUUAGAUACCCUGGUA